rnacentral:misc_RNA from 2 species
UCGAGUUUAUUCAACUCCCAAACCCUAUGUGAACUUACCACUUGUUGCUUCGGCGGCGCUCCGGCGCUGCCGGGGGUAUCAAACUCUUAUUGUUUUUACAGCAUUAUCUGAGUGGCCGAAAGGCAAAAAACAAAUGAAUCA